UACAGAGGUCUCAAGCGUUGUUCGGAUUCAUUGGGCGUAAAGGGAGCGUAGGCGGCGAGGUAAGUCGGGUGUGAAAUCUCAGAGCUCAACUCUGAAACUGCACUCGAUACUGCUUUGCUAGAGGACUGGAGAGGAGAUUGGAAUUCACGGUGUAGCAGUGAAAUGCGUAGAGAUCGUGAGGAAGACCAGUGGCGAAGGCGGAUCUCUGGACAGUUCCUGACGCUGAGGCGCGAAGGCCAGGGGAGCAAACGGG
rnacentral:rRNA from 1 species